UACGAAGGGGGCUAGCGUUGCUCGGAAUCACUGGGCGUAAAGCGCACGUAGGCGGGUCUUUAAGUCAGGGGUGAAAUCCUGGAGCUCAACUCCAGAACUGCCUUUGAUACUGAGGAUCUCGAGUCCGGGAGAGGUGAGUGGAACUGCGAGUGUAGAGGUGAAAUUCGUAGAUAUUCGCAAGAACACCAGUGGCGAAGGCGGCUCACUGGCCCGGUACUGACGCUGAGGUGCGAAAGCGUGGGGAGCAAACAGGG
rnacentral:rRNA from 1 species